GACGAACGCUGGCGGCGUGGAUUAGGCAUGCAAGUCGAACGGUAGGAUACCUUCGGGUAUCUGAGAGUGGCGAACGGGUGAGUAACACGUAGGUGAUCUACCCUCAAGAUUGGGACAACCCAGGGAAACUUGGGCUAAUACCGGAUGAAAGCAGCAGUGAUGUUGUUUGAAAGGUGGCGUAAGCUGCCGUUUGGGGAUGAGCCUGCGCUCUAUUAGUUAGUUGGCGGGGUAAAGGCCCACCAAGGCGAUGAUAGAUAGGCGGCCUUAACGGGUGGUCGCCCACACUGGGAUUGAGAUACGGCCCAGACUCCUACGGGAGGCAGCAGUCGAGAAUAGUCUACAAUGGCCGAAAGGCUGAUAGUGCGACGCCGCGUGAACGAAGAAGCCCUUCGGGUGUAAAGUUCUUUUAUAUGUGAGCAGUGCUUUCUAUGUGAACAGCAUGGGGAGAGAGAUAUUAGCAUAUGAAUAAGCAACGGCUAACUCCGUGCCAGCAGCC
rnacentral:rRNA from 1 species